rnacentral:rRNA from 1 species
AGAUUGAACGCUGGCGGCAUGCCUUACACAUGCAAGUCGAACGGCAGCACGGGAGCAAUCCUGGUGGCGAGUGGCGAACGGGGUGAGUAAUACAUCGGAACGUGCCCAAUCGUGGGGGAUAACGCAGCGAAAGCUGUGCUAAUACCGCAUAAGAUCUACGGAUGAAAGCAGGGGAUCGCAAGACCUUGCGCGAAUGGAGCGGCCGAUGGGCAGUAUUAGGUAGUUGGUAGAGGGUAAAGGCUCACCAAGCCUUCGAUCUGUACGCUGGUCUGAGAGGACGACCAGCCACACGUGGACUGGACACCGACGGCCCAGUACCUCCGGUACGGGA